ACGCGGUGUCAGAAGCCAAAGCAGCAAUUUACAAGUCCUCCUUGACCUAGGUGGCAGGGACGUGAAUGCUACAGGAACUAGGGCCUGAUGAUUCUUCCUCUUCACCUACCCCGUCUUGCAAUGGAAGGCGCGGGCAUCUCACGUGACCGACUUGACAGAUCACAUGACCAGGAACUAGCUUUAACCUGGCAUCAGGAAAGAACCUCUUCGGAAUAGGGGCCUGCAGAGUUCAGUAAGGUACUGUUUCGUUAGGUCGAGAAGCUCGGGAUCGUCUAAUUCCACACCCCACACACAUACCUUAGUCUCCGGUGGUCUUCUGUAGUGGGGAAAACGAGAUAGUUCCAGGACAGGAACCAAAAAGCUACGGAGAAACCCUGUCUCGAAAAUAAAAAAAAAGAAAAAGAAAAAGAAAAGCAGGCUCAGUGGAGUUGCUAAAUGUGGGGGAGAAAGAAGAAAAGACACAAAGAAGUCACUGUUGCCUCUCUCUCCACUAAAAAUGCUGCAGGCACACCAAAGGUACCUGAGACAGAAUGGAUCAUUCAGCUUCCAGCCUGAAGACACCAGCCCCUCAUGCUGAUACCUUUUCCCCAGUUGUUACUUCCCUCUCCUUGGUCCUUACUCACCAUGUCUGGCUGGAGGCGACCCAGAUGCCAUGUGAUGGUCAUUUGAAGACAGGACUUCUGAAUAUCAGAUAGCCCAAGGUCCAGACACGCGCUCUAUGGGCCCUGGGCCCUGAACUCCAUACCUGGCCCUGGUUGAUGGCUGCGUGCUGAGAUGUACAUGUGAAGACACACAUCGUAAGGAAAUGGCAGAGCUGAGCCCGGGUCUGGAAGGAGACAGGGAAACCUGGCCAGGGAAAGAACAGGACUUAAAUGCGACAGAGCAAGAGGAAAGAAACGCAGGAUGCUCUGUAUUUUAGGACGGGUGUGUGUGUGUGUGUGUUUAAUUUAUGUAGCUAUAUUUGUAUCAGAUAUAGGUUUCAGCACUGGCCUAAUUUCUUCCAUCUUGGUUACUUUAGAUCAGAGGUUCUCAACUUGUGGGUCUCAACCCCCACAGGGGUCCCAUAUCAGAUGCCCUGCAUGUCAAAUAUUUACAUUUUGAUUUAUGGCAGUAAUAAAAUUACAGUUAUGAAGUAGCCACAAAAUAAUUCUGUAGUCGGGAGUCACACAACAUAGGAACUGCAUUAACAUAGGGACAGCGUCGGAAGACCAGUCAGUCACCUAACUUCUCCACACUCCAGUUUCCAUCUGCACAGUGGAUGCAGUGGUGCGUGAUGUAAUCCCAACUCAGAGGCAGGAGGCUCAGUGAGUUCCUGGCCAUCCCGCACCACUGUCUGGACUACACAGUGAGAUCCUGUCUUUAAACAAACAAACAACAAAAAAAAAGCAUCAAAAUGAUCUGUUUUUAGAUAGUGCUCAGCAAAUAAUAGAUACUGUUAUUGUGGAAGAUUAAGGGCUGGACAGUCAGUCAUCCCUAGUCGGUUAAUGUAGGGGCUGGAGAGAAGGCUCAGCAGUUAAAAGCACGGGCUGCUCUUCCAGCAGUCCUGAGUUCAAUUCCCAAUACCUACAUGGUGGCUCACAACCAUCUGUAAUGAGAUUUGGUGCCCUC